GGCACCAGAGAGACAUCAGAUGUGAGGGAUGCAGUGGGGAGGAAGGUGAAGCUGUCACUGAGGAAGAGAGUCAAACUGGAGAUCAAAGGGGACAAGAUGGAGAACAGAGUCCUGGCUCUCGCAUCUCACCGGGCCUACCUCUUGACAGCACGCAUUCCUGCCAAGGUAAGAGUCUGUUUCCACAGUCUGUGGACCUGUUUCACUAAAAAAAAACAAGAAACAAGAGAAGAGUUUCAAUUUAAAUCCAUUACAAAAUACACUUCAACCAUCUUGGAGGUGGACGAGGUGGUGGCUCACAUAGGAAACUGUCUGCUGAGGAUAUGUCCCGGACUUAAAGUGAUGAAGAAGCUUUGCAUGGAGCCUCCAGACAGACUGCCCUCCCUGCAGACUCUGUGGGAAAACAACAAGCUGGCCGAACCUGGACCCUGUGGUGGAUUUUCUCAGAUGUACAGGUGUGUUUGUGACUGGCUCGGGCUGCCUCACAGAGAAGAGGUGCAGUGGGACGUAGACACCAUCUAUUUGACACAAGACUCUAGAGAACUUAACCUGCAAGACUUCAGCCAUUUGGAGAACAGGGAUCUGGUAGCUAUAAUAGCAGUUUUGGAGUUUAACCAGUGGUUCACCAAGCUCUCAACCAAGGACUACAAACUGUCUGCAGAUGUGUGUGAGCAGAUACUUCGAGUGGUGUCCCGAUCCAGUCGACUGGAAGAGUUGGUUCUGGACAACGCAGGACUUAAAACUGAUUUUGCCCAGAAGCUAGCAGUUGCCCUGUCCCACAACCCCAGCUCAGGACUCACCACCAUAAAUCUUGCCAACAACCCACUGGAGGACAGAGGCGUUUCCUCUCUGGGUGCUCAGUUUGCCAAACUUCGCAUGGGGCUCAAGCAUUUAAACUUUUCCAAAACCUCACUGUCGCCCAAAGGGGUGAAUAGCCUUUGCCAGUCACUGAGUGCCAACCCAUCCAUCCCCAGCAGCCUCGUCCAUCUGGACCUCUCAGGGAAUAUGCUCAGAGGAGACGACAUGCAGCAUUUUUACCACUUCCUUGGUCAACCCAACAGCCUGAUAACCCUUGACCUCUCUAACACUGACUGCUCAUUGGACCAGGUUUGCUCUGCUUUGCUGCGAGGCUCAGUCCAACACCUCUCUGUUCUCAAUGUGUCAAAGAGCGUCUUCCCUCACAGGAAAGGAAAAGAGGUGCCUCCUUCAUUCAAACACUUCUUCAGCAGUGCGGCUUCUCUCGGCUACAUCAACGUGUCAGGAACCAAGCUGCCGCCAGAGGCCCUCAAGGCACUCCUGCUUGGAUUGGCCAGUAACCCCAGUCUGAAGGAUGUGUCUCUGGACCUUAGCUGCUGUGAGUUGAGGUCCGGAGGGUCUCAGAUCCUUGAAGGCUGCAUUGCUGAGAUCCCUAACAUCUCAAGCCUAGAUAUCUCUGAUAAUGGCCUGGACUCAGACCUGUCCACUCUCCUUGUUUGGUUAGCCAAGAAUCGCUCCAUCAGACACCUGUCUCUGGGCAAGAACUUCAACAACAUCAAAUCCAAAAACCUUGCUCCAGUGUUGGACAGCCUGGUUCACAUGAUUCAAGAGGAGGAGUCGCCCCUCACCUCUCUGUCUCUAGCAGACUCCAGACUAAAGACUGAUCUGACUAUCGUUCUCAACGCCCUCGGCAGCAACUCUUCCCUCACAAGGCUCGACAUCAGCGGGAACGCCAUGGGUGACAUGGGAGCCAAGAUGCUCGCCAAGGCGCUGCAGAUCAACUCCAAACUCAGGACUGUGAUCUGGGAUAAGAACAACACCAGCCCUCAGGGUCUACAGGAUGUAGCAGCCGCUCUUGAGAAAAACUACACCAUUCGUUUCAUGCCCAUCCCCAUCAUCGAUGCCUCCCAGGCUCUGAAGGCCAGCCCGGAGAAAACAGAGGACGCUCUGCUAAAGAUUGAGAAUUAUUUGUACAGAAACCAUGAAACCAGAAAAUACCUGCAGGAGCAGGCUUAUCGGCUUCAGCAGGGUAUCGUCACCACAACCACACAGCAGAUGAUGGAGAGGAUUUGUGUUAAGGUGCAGGACCACCUGAAUUCUCUGAGGAACUCAGAGACAGACGCCAUCUUGGAGGAUGUCAGGGCAGCAGAGAACCUUAUCAAAGAUGCCAGGAACUCUAAAACGCUGCUGCCCAACCUCUACCACCUUGGAUCAGCAUCCAGAGAGGACUUGAACAGUUCAUCAGUGGGUCCCAUCCAGGAGAAGCUGGAGUCCAUGGCUGGAGAGGUGACUUCUGUCAUGGACAAACAAUUGCAGAGUCUGUUGGAGUCCAUGGUGGAUACAGCAGAAUCUCUCUGUCCUCAUGUCAUAAAGAGGAGUAAUCUUCGUCCUGAGCUGAUAAAGGCCAGUUCAGCUAAGAUGGUUGUACCUAAAAGCUUUGUCACCAAAACUCUUGUGGAGCAGUCGGGGGUGGAUAUUAUCAACAAGAUCAGUGAGGUGAAACUGAGUUUAGCGUCCUUUCUGUCUGAUCGUAUUGUGGAUGAGAUUUUGGAGGCUCUCUCCACGUCACAACAAACACUGGCUGACCACCUGGUACGUCGAGGUCGUCCCUUGGUACAACAAGAGUCUGUGGACCUGGAUGUCCCGGAGGAGAAGAUUCCUAAACGGGCUUCGGAUGAGAUACUUGAGGCGGAGAGGCUUGAGGAUCUGGAAACAUGCAUGAUGACUCCUAAAUCUAAAAGGAAAAGCAUCCAUAGCCGAAUGCUGCGGCCAGUGUCUCGUGCUUUUGAGAUGGAGUUUGACCUAGACAAGGCUCUGGAGGACGUCCCUGUACAUGUGGACGACACUUCCACUUCAUCUCAGACCCCCCCUACGCCGUCUUUGGCCCUGCCUAAACUGGAGCAACGUCCGCCGGGAACCAUGGUAGAGCUGCCAUCUGAGGAGGAGAAGAAGCUGCAGCACUUCACCAAACUGCGACCUCGGAGGAACAAAAAAACUCAUUCCAGCAAAGUACCUCAAAUCAACAGCACUCCGUCUCAAGAUGGGGAACAGAAUGGCCUCAUGGGAAGGGUGGAUGAGGGUGUAGAUGAGUUUUUUUCUAAAAAAGUCACCAAGAUUGAUUCCAAGCGUUCCCUGAAAAACAAAAACCAGGCUGCAUCAUGCUCUGCGGCUUCUGCUCCUCCAUCAACUGUCCCCGAGGAGCCUUCCUCACCGAAGGUGACAGUGAAGAGCCCUGCACCAGAGGACGCCUCCAUUCGCUCUCAACCCACAGACUACAGCAGCAGCUCAGACCGGUCAGAGGAGCUGAGGACACCGGACUCUAUAGACGAACCGUGGGAGGGUUCAGACGGCAGGGGGAGUCCUCAGGGAGGGAGGCGGUACCCCGGCAUGCAAAUGAUGGGCAGCGGCCUUCUGGCAGAGAUGAAAGCCAAACAGGAGAGGAGAGCACACAAGGUAAAGGAUCCAUUGCACCUGACAACACGUGCAGGAAGGGAAGCGCUGUUGGCAUGA
rnacentral:lncRNA from 1 species